CAACCGUUGGAAACGACGGCUAAUCCCCAAUAAGCCGCAAGGUAAAAAGGGUUUCCGCCUGGAGAGGAGCUCGCGUCCGAUUAGUUAGUUGGUGAGGUAAGAGCUUACCAAGGCAGCGAUCGGUAGCUGGUCUGAGAGGAUGAGCAGCCACACUGGGACUGAGACACGGCCCAGACUCCUACGGGAGGCAGCAGUGGGGAAUUUUCCGCAAUGGGCGCAAGCCUGACGGAGCAACGCCGCGUGUGGGAAGAAGGCUCUUGGGCUGUCAACCACUUUUCUCAGGGAAGAAGUCCUGACGGUACCUGAGGAAUCAGCCUCGGCUAACUCCGUGCCAGCAGCCGCGGUAAUACGGAGGAGGCAAGCGUUAUCCGGAAUUAUUGGGCGUAAAGCGUCCGCAGGGGGCACAUCAAGUCUGCUGUUAAAGGCUGGAGCUUAACUCCGGUAGAGCAGUGGAAACUGGUGUGCUAGAGGGCGACAGGGGUAGAGGGAAUUCCCAGUGUAGCGGUGAAAUGCGUAGAGAUUGGGAAGAACACCGGUGGCGAAAGCGCUCUACUGGGUCGCACCUGA
rnacentral:rRNA from 1 species